rnacentral:lncRNA from 1 species
AAAGCUCAUUUGGGUUGGAAGUUGGUCGGAGCUAUUUCACACUAUUCAUCGGCUAUUUCAGUACUUUCAGUAAAUUAAUUUCGGUUAUAAUAGCAUGUAUAAGAUAUUUUGGCCAAUGUUGGUAUAUAAAUGUUUUGUUGAGACAAGCCAUUUGAAUGGCUUGUGUUUGAUAUAUUUUGAUGUGUUUAUAUAUGUGGCCUUAACAUAUUUAAUGUGUGUUUGAUAUGGUUGAAUGAUGGAAAACUUAUAG